rnacentral:rRNA from 1 species
GAUGAACGCUGGCGGCGUGCUUAACACAUGCAAGUCGAACGGGAAUUAUUUUAUUGAUACUUCGGUCGAUUUUAUUUAAUUCUAGUGGCGGACGGGUGAGUAACGCGUGGGUAACCUGCCUUAUACAGGGGGGUAAAAGUCAGAAAUGGCUGCUAAUACCGCAUAAGCGCACAGAGCUGCAUGGCUCAGUGUGAAAAACUCCGGGGGUAUAAGAAGGCCCCGCGUUGGAUUAGCUGGUGGGGGGGGAAACGGCCCACCAGGGCGAGGAUCCAUCGCCGGCCUGAGAGGGGGAACGGCCAAAUUGGGACUGAGACACGGCCCAGACUCCUACGGGAGGCAGCAGGGGGGAAUAUUGCACAAUGGGGGAAACCCUGAUGCAGCGAGGCGGCGGGAAGGAAGAAGUAUCUCGGUAUGUAAACUUCUAUCAGCAGGAAAGAUAGUGACGGAACCUGACUAAGAAGCCCCGGCUAACUACGU